rnacentral:rRNA from 1 species
GGCGAUUGGGCCGAGUUUGAUCCUGGCUCAGGAUAAACGCUGGCGGCGUGCCUAAUGCAUGCAAGUCGAACGGAUGUUGCCUUCGGGCAGCAUUAGUGGCAAACGGGUGAGUAACACGUGGGGAUCUGCCCAGUAGUGGGGAACAACUCCUCGAAAGAGGAGCUAAUACCGCAUACGGUCAUCGUCGGAAGACGGAAGACUAAAGCUCGCAAGAGCGCUAUUGGAGGAACCUGCGGCUGAUUAGCUUGUUGGUGGGGUGAUGGCCUACCAAGGCUGCGACGGGUAGCCGGCCUGAGAGGGUGUCCGGCCACACUGGGACUGAGACACGGCCCAGACUCCUACGGGAGGCAGCAGUGGGGAAUAUUGCGCAAUGGGCGGAAGCCUGACGCAGCGACGCCGCGUGAGGGAUGACGGCCUUCGGGUUGUAAACCGCUUUCAGGAGGGACGAAGCCACUCGGGUUAAUAGCCCAGAGGGUGACGGUACCUCCAGAAGAAGCCCCGGCUAACUACGUGCCAGCAGCCGCGGUUAGCU